AAAAUAAAGAAAAUCGAUCAUUACCAUAAAAAAAAUAAUCCUGAUUCAGGAAUUUCUAUUGUUGACUGGUAUAGUCGAAUUACAAUCAAGGACCGCAUAUUCAUAAAAAUAAAAAUCAAGAACACCACCUAAUUAAUUGAAUCUGUAACCCAGAAAAACAAAUCUGAAAGAAUACAGUUCAUCAUCACAUCACGAGGGGCGGGCUAAGAUUUUGAAGAAUCAGAUUUAUAAAGCUUGUCAUAUUCCUCAAGCUCCUCGUAAUACACAUCCCAGACACAUCGAACACAUCCACUCCCACAACAAUCUCCUGGCUCCGGCUUCUCGGGGGGCGGCGGCGGCGGGGUAGCCGUCUUCUUCUUCGAUUCUUCCUCUCCUUGUUUACUCAUCACCGUUGAUUCAAUCUGUUGAUUUUUAUUUUCCGUUGCCAUUACAAAAUUGGCAGUAACGUGACAGGAUUUGGGAUCUUGAGAUCUUGAAUUGAAGGUGAUUGUUUUCGGUGAUAUAAAUAUUGGCUUAAAUGGGUUUUUCAUGGCGAAGAUAAAAUGGGUCGGGUCAUUUGGUGGGUUUUUGGGUUUUGGUAACGUGUAAGAGAAGAUUCGAGAAAGAAAAUGAUUAUGGAGGGUCGCUUCCAUUUACGAUCUUUAAGUUUGGCAAGGGAGAAUCCAUGUGAGCGGGCGGCGGGUGUUGGAGGAAUUCGGCCCGGUGAAAGUUGUGAUUGACUUUUUGACUUUAUAUGUGGCAGCUUUUUAUUGGUUGAUUACUCUUAAGACGACAACACCCGUUUGUCUGGUCUGCGUGAGUAGAAAGUCAAAACCACCCAUUUAAAUGUGGCUGUUGCGAUUCUUUUCCUGUGCUUUCACUAAGAAGAUGUGGCGGCAAGUUCUAGGUCCUACCAUGAUCAAUAGGUAGGUGGGGGACAGAGACUGUGCUCCAUAGGGCCAUUCGGUUUCUGACUUUCUGCAGAUUUUCUUGCUGUGCUGUUGGGAGUUGGGCCUUGCUUGAUCUUCAUGUAUCUACUGUGUUUGGAAGGCCCAAGAUAACUAAAUUCAUGGUACUAGAGAUAUCUCUGUGUAAAACUAGAAUUCUAAAUGAUGCUUUAUCUGAUUCUAAAUUUUGUGUAAUCUGUCAACUGUGUAACUUUACUAGCCAGCAACUGUUAGCCUGUUUUUUUUUAUGGCAUCUGCUGAUGCUAUGCUCUUAUUUUUUAACUUUGAUUAUAUAAUAUGAAAUUGAUUUGUUAA